AACGAACGCUGGCGGCAUGCCUAACACAUGCAAGUCGAACGAUGCCUUCGGGCAUAGUGGCGCACGGGUGCGUAACGCGUGGGAAUCUGCCUUUCGGUUCGGAAUAACUCAGGGACACUUGAGCUAAUACCGGAUAACGUCGCAAGACCAAAGAUUUAUCACCGAAAGAUGAGCCCGCGUAGGAUUAGCUAGUUGGUGAGGUAAAGGCUCACCAAGGCGACGCUCCUUAGCUGGUCUGAGAGGAUGAUCAGCCACACUGGGACUGAGACACGGCCCAGACUCCGACGGGAGGCAGCAGUGGGGAAUAUUGGACAAUGGGCGAAAGCCUGAUCCAGCAAUGCCGCGUGAGUGAUGAAGGCCUUAGGGUUGUAAAGCUCUUUUACCCGGGAAGAUAAUGACGGUACCGGGAGAAUAAGCCCCGGCUAACUCCGUG
rnacentral:rRNA from 1 species